AAGAUGAAGUUCCUACCCAGAAGCAAAUGUGUGGCCAUUUCUCCUUGCCAAAGGGAGACUUCUUGAGGCUGCUGCCUCCCUGACCACUUCACUGCCUAGAAUUGUCUUGAGCAGUCCUCCAGCAGAAUCAGAUACAGAGGGCAUCCCGGUUAACCAAAACACAGUCUACAAUGGGGCAAGAGCAGAGUUAUUCUUACCAGUUCAAGCCGGUUCUUACUGGUUUUGACCUGAGUGGCCUUUGUGAAUACAUAGGUGCUUCACCUCCAACCAAACCCUUCACAACCAAACUCCUACAUACAACACACAUACACACCACACAUUACACAAAGCACACACAUGUUAUAUAUAUACUAUACAUAUAUACAUCACAUAACACCAUAUACACACUACACACAGUACACAUGCUACACAUACCACACACUGACAUUAUACACACAGUACACAUACAUACUACAACACUAC
rnacentral:lncRNA from 1 species